GUGUAGGCACACAGUUGACCAGGAAGUGGGAAUGCACAGAUGGCUGUGGAGUGGGAAGUUGAUGUUCUGCAUUGUUUGUCAAGCACCUGUAGCACGUGUAAUAUCCCGAGGCUGUGGAAAGAGCGCCAUCUUUUGGGAACAGGAUGGAACUUGUGGGAUUGGUGUCAUUGGACCUGAGGGGCUUUCGCACAAACUAACGCCGAAAGGCUAUGGAUGUUACUGGACGAUAACAGCAGGCCGUGAGAAGACAUGCAGCACACGUCGUGUACUGAGGACCGGAUCCAGCAUGCUCUGGACCGAUGUCUGGAUGGGCUCAGACCCAGUCCCACGGCGCCACAACCCUGGAACGUCCUGAUGUGCUCGGCGGGCCAGUCGAUGAACCGCUGGAGUCUGGAGGAAUUGGUGAAGAGAGACCCAGAGAACUUCCUCAUCCUCCUGCAGCAGGUCCUCAGGAAGACCAGAGAGGUCCAGGAUCAGUGUCAGUAUGAGCUUGUGGCUCCCCUCGCUAUCAUGUUCUCCUCCACUCUGUUACAGACCCCAUUCUGUCCCCCUGCCACGGAGCUGCUGGAGGAGGCCUGUGAGGUGUUUGGCUGUUUCCUGACUUGGCCAGAGCCUUACUGUAGCGUGUGUAAAGGACUGCUCUCCACCUUACACCAGGAGCUCAAGGCCCCAGGCAUUUCCUAUCACAGACUGGUGAGAGAAGAGCAAGGCCUGGCCACUUCAAAACAUCGCUCAAAAACAAUGACGGUUCUGUUGAUGAACCCUAGUGAGGUGCCUCCUGAGUUCCUGUCUGUAGCAGACCAACUGAGUAGUAUCCAACGGUCCCAGAGAGAGACAUAUAUCACCCUGGUCAAACAUGCCUACCAGGCUACCCUGGGCACCAAGUACACCCUGGCCAGCAUCCACAAAGCCCUGCAGGUCAAGAGUCUAGAGGAGCUGGCGGAGAUCUUCUCCAUGGUAACCGACGUCCUGGAGACGGCCGCUGCCAUGGACGACCCGGCGAAAGGCCGUGAUCAUGUGACCCAGGGCCUGGAGGGGCUGAGGGAGAGGAUGGGCGUCCCAGCGUCCAAUGGCAGGAAGUCUGACGGAAUGUUGCAAACUCUACCACUGCCCACAGCCAAGUGCUACAUGUUUCACUGGGACAAGGACAACUUUGAUAUCCUCAACACCAUCCUGGAGAACGAGCAUGACCUAACCGGCUUCCAGACCUCCAGUGGUCAGGGUGACGGCGAAGAUGAUGAGGAGGAGGAGGAGGAAGGGGCAGAGUUCGACCUGGAGGAGGAAGAGGGAGAGAAGGAAGAAGGAGAGGAGGAGUUUGUCUCCGCCAUGUCUAUGUACAACUGCUGCAGUGUGGACCACCGAGCCUCUACCUUCUCCACCGUCUCCUCACUCUCCACUGCCUCUAAAGACUCCAUGUACUCCACCUUGUCCUUGGCCUCCGGAUCCUACGCUCCCUCCGUUCUCUCAGUCACUUCCGGCAUCGACAGCGACUUCUACGAAGACCCCGAGGACACCACCUCCAGCCCCUCCCCUUUGGAACGGUGCCCAUCAUCUGGCAAGUCAACCAAAGCUUCGGCUCGUCUGAGCCAGCACUUCUCCCGUUUCUUCAAGACAAAGACGCAGUCCCUGACCAGAGCCAAGAGCCUCGGCAGCCCAGAUGCUAAGGACUUGGUCGCGGUUCGUUCAAAGCGCUCCAACUCUCUCCCGCAGCAGGUGCACCUAGUCAGCCCAGACUCUUUGUUCCAGACCCCCUGUACCCCCCAGGCCCUCAAGCACGUGUGCUUCCGCCGGAGGCCCAUCCUGAGCAGUGACGAGGAGGGUAACGGUAAUUCCACUACCCUGAGGGUGGUAGUGUUCGGGGCCGACCACGUGGCGGGCAAGGUGGCGAGAGCCUAUAGUAACCUACGCCAGAGAGAGAACGCUUGCCCAAGCCUCAGCAGAGCCUUCCGGCUGCAGUUCUUCUUUGUGCCCGUGAAGAGGGAUGGUGUUGUGAGGUGCCCUAGCCCCGGAGGCCAGUCGGCUAGCCCACGGAGAGGAAGUACAGAGCUCAACAAUCUGGGCACAGAAGACAGCACUAACGACAUAGCCCGUUUCAUUGGUAUGCUGGACCCCUGGUACGAACGCAACACCUUGAGCCUGCUCAGUCUACCAGCCAGCGUGGUGUGUCGGCAAACCUCUAAGAUAGAGUCCGAUUUGUAUGAUAGUUCCUAUGAGGAUCGUCUGCCCAUCCUGGCUGACCUGGUGUUGUACUACUGUCGCCAUGCCGCCAGGCCUGCACUGAUGCAGCUCUACCAAGCUGAGAUGACGUUAGCUGGAGGCGAGAGGAGGACAGAGGUUUUCAUUCACUCCCUAGAGCUGGGCCACACCGCGGGUACACGAGCCAUCAAGGCUAUGGGUGCAGCGAGCAAGAGGUUUGGGAUCGAUGGCGACCGGGAGGCAGUCCCUCUGAUGUUAGAGGUGGUUUACAACAGGGUGGUCAUCAGUGGGAGAAGUCAAUGGACGAAGAAAGACAAAGUUUGCACCUCCAUCAACCUGACCAAAGCCUGCAAGAAUCCAGAGGAACUAGAUUCAAAGAUGGAGUGCUUGCAGUUGACAAUGACAGAAGUACUGAAAAGGCAGAACUCAAACAAAUCUAAGAAAGGCUACAAUCAGCAACUGAGUGUUACUGAGGUGAAGGUGGACAAGGUGCAGGUCAGUGGGACUGGUAACACCACCUUUGCUGUGUGUCUGGACCAGGAUGAGAAGAAGAUCUUCCAGGGUGUCACCAGGUGUGAGGUGUCUGUAUGCUACAAGCCUGACAGCUCUACAGACUGGAGGUUAGGCCAGGGCCUGUCCGCCCAGAUCCAGCCACUCCACCCCACCUUCUGCUCACUCCUCUGCCUGCCCAUAGCCACCUUCAGCGGGGCACAGCCCUGAGAGUGGAAGACCAGCCUUAAACAUAUAUAUACUUGAUUGUAUUUCUGACUAUUUUGUAGACAGCUGGUAACAGAGGGGAAGACUAGAAAGUGUAGGUGAAAAGCCUGGUGUCUGUGGACCAGACUACAAUGAAUGGAUGAGACUCUUUUUGGAGCCAAGGGACAUUAUGGCUGCUGGAUGGUUCAGCGAACCAUCCUCCUGUGAUGACUAACAUUGCCUGAGACCUACAGACUUCCGUUGGGCUAACAGUCUUGUGACGUUCAGGAGACCCGGGUUCAAUACCCAGUUGCUUGAAAUGGACACUAUGGAUUAUGUAAAUGAUGUACAUUUGUAUACUAUAUAUUUCUUCCCUCAAAAUAACUUCAUCAUUGGUCCUUUUGUAGCUCAGUUGGUAGAGCAUGGCGCUUGUAACGCCAGGGUAGUGGGUUCGAUCCCCGGGACCACCCAUACCUAGAAUGUAUGCACACAUGACUAAGUCGCUUUGGAUAAAAGCGUCUGCUAAAUGGCAUAUAUUAUUAUUAUUAUUAUUAUUAUAUUAUCAUUACACUGUAGCUACACUAGCAUUGGUGCAAGUCCUCUCUUCCCGGCACUGCAAUGAGCAACGGUUUCCUGAAAGGGGACAUUUCUGAAAUAUCACAGUGACUUCUUUAGACCAGCAGGGGAGUCUAUUGUGUUCACUUUACCACACGAGAGUCACGUAUGUCAGGAAAAUGAGCUGAUACUGAUGACCGCAGGGACGCAGAGACGACAUCGAUAUUCCAGGGUAGAUUGACAUGGUGUCAUAGACCUGUCUAUGGUGCUACAGAAUAUGCUCAUCCAGUCCUGUUGUUUAAUCAGUUGUCUAAUUUAUUGUUGUCUACAGCUUUGCACUGCAGAAAAUAUAUUUAGCAGAAUAUCAAAAUAUCAAUCAUAUCGCAGAAUAAAAUGCACAGUAAAAUUGCUUAAAGGUUGAGGUUGGUAUUUUAGGAAUCUUUGUGUUAAACAUGGGUAGGGCUCUGGGUUUAUCCUGGCUGUGACCUAACCAGUUUCCCUAUGUUGUCAGGAAAACACAACAGAUUAAUAGAUUGCACAUGUACACCGAGUCUACAAAACAUUAACAACACAUUCCUAAUAUUGAGUUACACCCUCGUUGCCCUCACAGCGGCCUCAGUUCAUCGGGGCAUGGACUCUACAAAGUGUCGAAAGCCCUUCCACAGGGACGCUGGCCCAUGUUGCCUCCAAUGCUUCCCAGUUGUGUCAUGUUGGCUGAAUGUCUUUUGGGUGGUGAACCAUUAUUGAUACACACUGGAAACUGUUGAGUGUGAAAACCCCAGUAGCGUUGCAGUUCUUGAAACAUGCAAACUGGCACCUUCUAUCUUACCCUGUUCAAAGGCACUUAAAUAUUUUGUCUUGCCUAUCGCCUGAAUGGCACACACACACAACAAAUCCUUCUUUAACCUGUCUCCUUAAGUGACAUCAAUAACUGAUCAUAGCUUUCACCUGGA